CCUAGUGGUCAAACAUGGACAUUUUCCCAAUAAUUUUUCCACAAUUCAACACUUAAAAUAAGGACUGUUUCGUUUAGACUUACCUUGGUGUGACGUUUUGAUAACCGUGUUACUCUCUCUCGGGCAAGGUGACUUUUAGAAAUAUUUUCACCUGUAUUUACCCCCGAAAAUGAAAUGCUAAUUAUCUGCUAAUGUGGCUAUCAUACAGAACUACAAAUGCCUGAAAUUAAGCUUCACGUCACUCAGCAGGCCCAUGAUGAUCUGGACGAGACAGCCGAAUUGAGGCAAAAAACCAAUGGGUGGGCCUGAGUCUCAUCACCUCUCAACUAGGCAAGCUGUUUCAACCUGGAACACUGUUCUCCUGCUUUGGUCUGUUUCAGUCAUUGCAGGUAGUCCUGAAGAGCAUGAAUGUGUGAAGGGGUUUUGUUCCAGCCCAGCUCUAACACUUGAUCAACAUAAUCUAUUGAUCGUAACCAACACAAUGAAUCACGGCGAUAGGCUAUGAUUUGUAAUCAGGUAUGAGCUGGGCUGGAACAAUAGCUUAUACCCACGCCAGUCCUGCCAUUCAGAUCUAGAGAUGUCGUUAUUCUGUACUCCAGUAAUUUAGAUGGUAUGAUAUAUAACGUAUGGUCCACUCUCAAGUUGAACUUGAACUUGUUGACUGAUGCCAAGGCGGCAGCUGCUAAGAAGAAGGUAGCAGCUGCGGACCAGAAGACUGCAGCCGAGGCAGCACUGGUCCAUACCUGCGCUGUCUGUCAGAACCCGAAGACAUUCAAGCAGCACUCUGAGAACAAGCAUCCCAAGUCUCCAACGGUCCCAGUACUGGUUGAUGUGCAGGCCUAAGUGACCACACACGCUCAAAUGGACCUAGAGCUGGGACACACGAUGACCACGAUUUGAGUGCUGCAACUGAGACGGAAUGACCAUCGAGGGACACAUGCUGAGACCCCGACUAUACAGCGCUAUGAAAAAAACAUUCUUCCAAGAGUCUUGAUGAUCAUCCAGCGGCUUUUUCGCAAACUUCAGUCAACUUUGUGGAUGAGAUUAUGUCUGGCAAAAACCAAACACUGCAUUCCACAACUAAUCCUGCAGCUGAUGAUGAUGAAGAUGACACCAGCUUGACACCAUCUUCAAUAGCAUAGAGCCUGUAGACCAGGGAUUCCCAAGCCUUUUAGGCCCACGACCCCAUUUUGAUAUCUGAAAACACUCACGACCCCAACCAUGUGGAGAAAAAUAAAAUAUUUGGGGCUAUGGCAGUCAAUUC